GUGGCAGCCGCCGCGGUAAUACGGAGGGUGAGAGCGUUAAUCGGAAUUACUGGGCGGAAAGGGCGCGUAGGCGGCUGAUCAAGUCAGGUGUGAAAGCCCACGGCUUAACCGUGUGAGGUGCAGCUGAAACUGGUCGGCUUGAGUAUCGGAGAGGAAAGUGGAAUUCCCGGUGUAGAGGUGAAAUUCGUAGAUAUCGGGAGGAAUACCGGUGGCGAAGGCGACUUUCUGGACGAAUACUGACGCUGAGGCGAGCGAGCGGGGGGAGCAAACAGGAUUAGAUACCCUGGUAGUCCACAGCUUU
rnacentral:rRNA from 1 species